rnacentral:tRNA from 1 species
UAUUUGUAAAUAAAAAUUACCUUGAUAACUUCAGUAUCACACUCUAUAUUAAGCUAUACAAAU